rnacentral:rRNA from 1 species
AUUGAACGCUGGCGGCAUGCCUUACACAUGCAAGUCGAACGGCAGCACGGGUGCUUGCACCUGGUGGCGAGUGGCGAACGGGUGAGUAAUACAUCGGAACAUGUCCUGUAGUGGGGGAUAGCCCGGCGAAAGCCGGAUUAAUACCGCAUACGAUCUACGGAUGAAAGCGGGGGACCUUCGGGCCUCGCGCUAUAGGGUUGGCCGAUGGCUGAUUAGCUAGUUGGUGGGGUAAAGGCCUACCAAGGCGACGAUCAGUAGCUGGUCUGAGAGGACGACCAGCCACACUGGGACUGAGACACGGCCCAGACUCCUACGGGAGGCAGCAGUGGGGAGUUUUGGACAAUGGGCGAAAGCCUGAUCCAGCAAUGCCGCGUGUGUGAAGAAGGCCUUCGGGUUGUAAAGCACUUUUGUCCGGAAAGAAAUCCUUGGCCCUAAUACGGGCGGGGGAUGACGGUACCGGAAGAAUAAGCACCGGCUAACUACGU